rnacentral:rRNA from 1 species
UACGUAUGGGGCAAGCGUUAUCCGGAUUUACUGGGUGUAAAGGGAGCGUAGGCGGCGGGGCAAGCCUGAUGUGAAAGCCCGGGGCUCAACCCCGGGACUGCAUUGGGAACUGCCCUGCUGGAGUGCCGAGGGGCAGGCGGAAUUCCUAGUGUAGCGGUGAAAUGCGUAGAUAUUAGGAGGAACACCAGUGGCGAAGGCGGCCUGCUGGACGGUGACUGACGCUGAGGCUCGAAAGCGUGGGGAGCAAACAGG